rnacentral:rRNA from 1 species
GACGAACGCUGGCGGCGUGCUUAACACAUGCAAGUCGAACGAUAAAGCCUGGCGCUUGCGGGGGGUGGGUGAGUGGAGAACGGGUGAGAAAUAUGAGAAUAACCUGCCCUUCACUGUGGGAUAAGCCUGGGAAACUGGGUUUAAUACUGGAUACGACACGCCUCUGCAUGGUGGUGUGUGGAAAGGGUUUUACUGGGUAUGGAUGGGCUGACGGCCUAUCAGCUGGUGGGUGGGGGACUGGCCUAACAAGGCGACGACGGGUAGCCGGCCUGAGCGGGUGACCGGCCAAAAUAGGGAAGAAAAACGGCCCCGCCUGCUACGGGGGGCAACAGUGGGGAAUAUUGCAAAAAGGGCGGAAACCUGGUGGAGCGAAACCCCGGUGGGGAUGAAGGCCGUCGGGGUGUAAACCUCUUUCGGCACGGAAGAAACGAGAGUGACGGUACGUGCAGAAGAAGCGCCGGCUAACUAAGUG